UUUUUUCUCACUAAUACGUGUUUUUGUUGUUACAAAAUGAAUGAUGUAACCGGCAAGGACCCUAGUUUAAUUUUCUAAGUUGUCUGGUGAUAUGAUGCACUUCAGUCUUGUUACGAUAUUGGAGAUCUAGCGCUUUUUAAAAAAAAUUAUAGACACAUCGGAAUGACCCAGGACCCAACUUGGAAAAGCUGUGAUACCGUAUGGAUGUAAAUGUCACCCUACGCAUACAAGAAUACCAUUAGCGAUGAAAAGUAGCUUUGGCAUAAUUGUUUAAUGCUAUUUAAAUUGUAGAAUGAAAUUCAAAACAGUGUGGCUGUGGCCAUUGAUUGACACAUUAAUUUCAUCCAUUGACUGCGACAAUUUAGGUGAACGUUUGUAUGUAACGACCACUGCUCACUAUGUACUUUUUAAAGACACUUAAACUAUGGGGUCACCAAAGGUUCUCAACACCUUAAUAAAGUAAUUCGAAAAAUUAAUCAGAAAUAACACGAUGUUUUGAUUUAUAUCAAUUAUAUAAAUCAAAACAUAAAGGUUAUUCCUGAUUAAUUUUUCGGAUUAUUUUAUAAUUAAAGGCGUUAAGAAACCUUUGGUGACCCCACAGUUUAAAUGUCUAUCGUAUGUACGUCGUGAACAGUGGUUGUUACAGACAAACGUUCACGUAAAUUGUCCCAGUCAAUGGAUGAAUUUAAUGUGUCAAUCAAUGGCCACAGCCACACUGUUUUGAAUUUCAUUCUAUUAUAAUACAAUUGCACGUAGAAAUCAUUGUUUUUUAUAAAGUUUUCUAAUACAUAUUAUUGAAAAACAAAUAUCUAUAUGGUCCAAAUACUCAUAUGGUCCGGCCCGUUAAUAACCAAAC
rnacentral:lncRNA from 1 species